AUGGCUGGUCGUGUAGAGGGAAUCUGGAGAGAUUUGCACAGAUUAAGCCACAGCAUCCUGCGCUCCGGAGAGAGGAGGAGAAGAUGCUCGAGCACACAUGCGUCUGGAGGGAUGCGAAGCACUAAACUCUCAUCUUUAGCAAUAUUCCUACUUUUAUUACACAGCGCGCAGGCUUCCGACGAUGACUUGAUUCAUGAAGCCUCUGGAUCAACCCAUUUGUUUGGCAGCUUCCAUAUGACAGACAGGAAUCCAGCUUCUUUAGUCCAGUCAGAUUCCACAGGCUCGUCAAAGGGUAGCAGGGAACAACCUGAAUUUUCCUCUAAAAAACAAAAGCCUCCUGAACUCUUGUCAAAAGUUGUUGCACAUGACAAUGAAACACAUCAAUGGCCUUCAAAUGUAUCUUUGGAACGAGUGGAGCCAUUUACUCUUCCAUCAUCUGUGCUGGUCAGCAACCAUUCCUCCAACUCAGGUUUGUUCCCAGCAUGGCUGUCAUUUUUCACCCACUAUUUCUAUAUAUUACAGCUCAUUGUAUUCAUACAGACUCGUCAAUCAUGGGUCAAUUAUUCCUUAAACUUGAUAGUGCAUUAUAGAAAUGUUGAUUUAAAGCUAAUCAAUAACAUAUGCAAGCUAUAAUUCUUGUGAGCAAAAAAUCUAAGCAAGUGGGUCAUUGAAUGUUUUUGCGCCAUUUAUGGCAAAGCAAGCAUGAAUCUGGAAAUGAAGGCGCAGACUUUCACUUUUCACCUGCAUCUCUCAGCUGUGCAGACAUUCUCUUUAUUCACUGUACAUCCAGUGAAAAUGAGUAGUCAUACAAGCCCUGCUAUCAACAUCAAGUUUUCCAUCUUUACCGUCAUCACACGAAUCGUGGGUAUUGAAAAAAAUGGCAUCUACAACUGUGCUAAUCUCAACACUUGCCCACACAUAGUGAUGUCAAUUGCCUAACCCCACUUAUCACAGUAAAGUAAGUAUAAUGGUCUAUUUAUGCAAAGCUGAACCAUAUUUGAUAUUUACAUUUAAAGCAUUAAAUAGACUUAUUCAGAAUACUUAUACUGUAGAUAGUGGAUCGAAUAUAGGAUGGUGCUGGUCUGUUGAUUACCUCAUGCUACGACAAGAGUUUUGAACUUGGUUUAUGUAAGGAAAAGAAGCCAGUCGAGAGAGUGUGGGAGUGGAAUUACUUGGGAGUUUGAAGAUCAGCAAUGCUG
rnacentral:lncRNA from 12 species